rnacentral:lncRNA from 1 species
GUGCUCCUUGGCCCCUGGCCACAGGGACUUCAGCUUCCAGGAAAAGAAAGGCCAGGAAGGCUUAUCUUUCAAGAAACAGAAAGAUUUAAGCGAGCACAGGUUCUUUCCCUAAACUGAGAACUGAUGGCUCAUGUCUGUUCCAAAAGGCUUUGCGAAGGAAGAAGAGUUGUAGAAAUGAGUUAAAAGAUGACAGUGCAAUGAUCGCGCAGAAUCCAGUAUGAGUCCUCAGCCCAAAGGAACUGUAAGUCUCCACUGGAAACCUCACCCCGCCUCCCCCGCUCGGGGCCUCACCUCCGACCCGGACUUAAGAUGAUGCACAUGCAUCAAAACCCCAAGAGCAAGGGACCCAGCCUUUGCCUGUAACUGUGGGGGCUGCCAAGCCGGGAAAGAAAUCUAAGCCACAUGUGCCGGGGGUUUCGCCUGCUCCGAGGGACACAGGGACAGCGCGGGAAGGGAAGUAACCUCCAGUCAAUGACCACCAGAGCCGGACGUGAGGAGGUGCAGACCUUUGCCAAAGGAGCCUGUCAGAAGAACCAUCCAGAAAAACUAUGAAUUCACACCUUCAUGCCAAUUCUUGAGUCCUAAUUCUAGAAACAAGGUCAGAGUUAAAGAAAAAUCCCUAGUUCUUGACAGUGGAUCUCUUGAGCCCACGUGCCUGCCUGCUCAAGAGGCACCACUGUGGGCCAAGAGCAGGAGAGCAGCACUGUGUGGGGCAUGUCCCAGGCAGCAAGGAGAUCUGGAUACCCAGAAAUCGCUGAAUCGUGUGAGUGGGAAAUGACACUGGCCUGACCGAGGGCAGAAGCAGCAGAAAUAAAAAGGAAACAACAGAC